rnacentral:rRNA from 1 species
UACGGGGGGAGCAAGCGUUGUUCGGAUUUACUGGGCGUAAAGGGCGCGUAGGCGGUCAGCACAAGUCAGUUGUGAAAUCUCCGGGCUUAACUCAGAACGGCCAAGUGAUACUGCAGUGCUAGAGUGCAGAAAGGGCAAUCGGAAUUCUUGGUGUAGCGGUGAAAUGCGUAGAUAUCAAGAGGAACACCUGAGGCGAAGGCGGGUUGCUAGGCUGACACUGACGCUGAGGCGCGAAAGCCAGGGGAGCAAACGGG